CGGGCGGCUCACUCUAAGUUCGAAUACCAAGCCCUGUUUGUAAACAGCUUGGUGUUCUACCUUACAGUGAAUCGACUG
rfam:Cyphomyrmex costatus contig13749, whole genome shotgun sequence.